rnacentral:lncRNA from 1 species
GUCCUUAGCAUAUAGUAAGUGCUGGUAAACACUGAUAUUAUUGCUGAGUCUCUCCAUCCUCAUUUCAGAUGAUCUGUUCUCCCACUGGGUUCGAGUAGCAGCCGCUCCCUGUGUUGAACAACAGUUACUUGACUCCAGCCUUUGGUUUGGGACUGUUGAACUGCCAGUUAGAAGAGCUGCCGUGGCUUUCUGGAAAGCUUCGAGAGCUGUGGAGCUGCCCAUUUGGAUUGGAAUCGGGCCUAAAAGAUUCUGCUCUGGGGACAGACUGGCUCUGCUGCAAUACAAUGUUCUUCA